GAGCAAUUAAAUAACUUGCCCAAGAUCGCCCAAGAUCACCCAAGAUGUCCGGCUGAAGUUCUUAACCAUUACCUUACACUAAUCAACAGCAACAAUAAUAAUAACCACCUUUCUAGGAUGCAAAUUAUGUUCCAAGAACUUUCAUUAUUUCAUUACAUCUGCAUAGCCCCAAGAGUAAAUAAUAUCCUGUUCUAUUGAAGAAGAAACUGAGGUCCCAAGACAUGAAAUUACUUGCUCAAGGUCACACACUGGCCCUCAACUCUGUGAUGUCAAAAUUCC
rnacentral:lncRNA from 10 species